CCCUUAGAUGUCCUGGGCCGCACGCGCGCUACACUGAUGAAGGCAGCGAGUCCACCUUGGUCGGAAGGCCCGGGUAAUCUUGUGAAACUUCAUCGUGAUGGGGAUAGAUCAUUGCAAUUAUUGAUCUUCAACGAGGAAUUCCUAGUAAGCGCAAGUCAUCAGCUUGCGUUGAUUACGUCCCUGCCCUUUGUACACACCGCCCGUCGCUCCUACCGAUUGUGUGCACAGGUGAGGACUAGGGAGCCCCGAUGUAGGGUAGUUUCUACCCCACUUUGGGACGAACUUGUCCAAAUCUUUUCACAUAGAGGAAGGAGAAGUCGUANCA
rnacentral:rRNA from 1 species